ensembl:lncRNA LINC02970 long intergenic non-protein coding RNA 2970
GGAGUGACCUGCCGUGGAGUUUCUGGUUUCCUCCUUGUGGCUUUGUCUGGAGGGCAAGCCCCACUCUCAGAUCCACAUGGCAACACAAGCAGCUAAAACGCAGAUAGAAACCCCAACCUGGGAAAAGGAGUCCUACAGCAACUUUUCAGAAGCUUCAGAAGAAGGACGCCGGAGAAUGCCCGCCCGGGACUCCGAGGUGCCCUGUGCUCAUGGAUUGGUCCUCCUGGCUCCAUGAGUGUGAGUGAGUGUCUGCAGGUCCCUGGCACAAAAGCUGCAGUGCUGAGCAGGUGGCUAAUGGCCCUGGCUGGGUGAUUUUGGACAAGUCACCUUUGCCUCUCUGGCCUCCAUUGUCCCUCUGUCAAACAGGCCCCACGACAGCAAGCGUUGGUUAUUGUGUCUAUGGUCAACAUCCCACCUGCCUUUCUGGGCAGAGACGUUUGGGAGCAGUGGCUGUAUCCCUGAGCACGUCGUAAGGGCACUUUCCUGCAUGCCCUGGCUGGAGGGACCUGUUGCUGGGAAAACUCCCCAGAGUGUGAACCGGCGGCGGCUCCACCAUCUGGGUGCCGUGGGCAUGGUGCAUGGCGGGAAGGAGGCCGGCACCACAGAAGGGUGGCAGCUGUCCCCG